GACGAACGCUGGCGGCGUGCUUAACACAUGCAAGUCGAACGGUAAGGCCCUUCUUGGUACACGAGUGGCGGACGGGUGAGUAACACGUGGGUGAUCUGCCCUGCACUUCGGGAUAAGCCUGGGAAACUGGGUCUACUACCGGAUAGGACCACUGCCUGCAUGGGUGGGGGGAGCAAGCUUUUGCGGGGUGGGAUGGGCCCGCGGCCUAUCAGCUUGUUGGUGGGGUGGUGGCCUGCCAAGGCGACGACGGGUAGCCGGACUGGGAGGGUGACCGGCCACACUGGGACUGAAAUACGGCCCAGACUCAUACGGGAGGCAGCAGUGGGGAAUAUUGCACAAUGGGCGCAAGCCUGAUGCAGCGACGCCGCGUGAGGGAUGACGGCAUUCGGGUUGUAAACCUCUUUCAGCACCGACGAAGCGCAAGUGACGGUAGGUGCAGAAGAAGGACCGGCCAACUACGUGCCAGCCGCCGCCGUAA
rnacentral:rRNA from 1 species